AUCCUUUCGUAGUUCACAAACAUGAUGGUUGGGUGCACGUACGUGUGUGAAGCAUGCCAUCCUCCAGCCUUGUUAUGACCUCGGUGCAUUACCCAUCUGACA